CAACUCGACUCCAUGAAGCUGGAUUCGCUAGUAAUCGCGCAUCAGCCAUGGCGCGGUGAAUACGUUCCCGGGCCUUGUACACACCGCCCGUCAAGCCAUGGGAGCCGGGGGUGCCUGAAGUACGUGACCGCGAGGAUCGCCCUAGGGUAAAACUGGUGACUGGGGCUAAGUCGUAACAAGGUAUC
rnacentral:rRNA from 1 species